rnacentral:rRNA from 1 species
GACGGAGGGUGCAAACGUUGUUCGGAAUCACUGGGCAUAAAGAGCACGUAGGCUGCGCGCUAAGUCAGGUGUGAAAUCCCCCGGCUCAACCGGGGAACUGCACCUGAUACUGGCGUGCUCGAGGACGGUAGGGGUGAGUGGAACUCCAGGUGGAGCGGUGAAAUGCGUAGAUAUCUGGAGGAACACCGGAGGCGAAAGCGGCUCACUGGACCGUCUCUGACGCUGAGGUGCGAAAGCGUGGGGAGCAAACAGG